GGUCCGAACCCACGAGCGUUGAAAAGCUCGGGGAUGACUUGUGGGUAGCGGUGAAAUUCCAAUCGAGCCCGGAGAUAGCUGGUUCUCCCCGAAAUAGCUUUAGGGCUAGCCUCAAGGUGAGAGAUACGGAGGUAGAGCACUGAAUGUCCUAGGGGGUAUUGCACCUACCGAAGACUAUCAAACUCCGAAUGCCGUCAUCUUAUACUUGGGAGUCAGACUGUGGGUGAUAAGAUUCAUAGUCGAAAGGGCAACAGCCCAGAUCGUCAGCUAAGGUCCCUAAAUGUAAGUUAAGUGGUAAAGGAUGUGGGAUUGCACAGACAACCAGGAUGUUGGCUUAGAAGCAGCCACUCAUUCAAAGAGUGCGUAAUAGCUCACUGGUCGAGUGAUCCUGCGCCGAAGAUUUCCGGGGCUAAAACUUACUACCGAAGCUACGGCAUCAGUAAUGAUGGGUAGGGGAGCUUCCCAUACGGGUUGAAGCAUGACCGUAAGGACAUGUGGACAGUAUGGGAGUGAGAAUGUUGGCAUGAGUAGCGAGAUGUGGGUGAGAAUCCCACAGGCCGUAAACCCAAGGUUUCCAGGGGAAGGUUCGUCCGCCCGGGGUUAGUCGGGACCUAAGCUGAGGCCGAAAGGCGUAGGUGAUGGACAACAGGUUGAUAUUCCUGUACUACCGAUAACCGUUUGAGAGAUGGGAUGACACAGUAGGAUAAGCUAAGCACACUGUUGGUUAUGUGUGCCCAAGCAUUGAGGCAGUCAAAGUAGGCAAAUCCGCUUUGAUAAUGCUGGGAUGUGAUGGGGAGCGAAAUUUAGUAGCGAA
rnacentral:rRNA from 1 species